CCUUCGCACAGUUCUUACAUUUACACAAUUCAAAACAAGAAUGAAGAGAGAAUGAGAACGGCUUACUGCUUCUGGAGGUCGCGAGGAGGCUUGUAGCACGGUGAUCUCGUUCUCGUCUGUGUACGCCUGCCCCUUCUGUUUUCCUUUUGUUUCGGUGAUGAUGAAGGUCACGGCUUGCCGCUUGGGUUCUUCCUUUUUCUGAUUUGCAGGGGGGAAUUGAGGAGACGGUGAUGUUAAUGGCUGGGAGAUCGAUCGGCGCUGUAACAGCCGGCAGUAAUGGUGUGGGGCGUUCCAUUCAAUGAAGAAACGUCCCUGCGUUUAAUGGCGGAGCCGCUACAGGGGAAGAAGACGAGCGAACAGUCGCCUCCCAAAACGACUCCGUUUUUACGAUUCCAAAGGCUGCUUUCAAUUUGGUCCUCGAAAUUUUGUAAUUUUGCAAUCAAGCUGCUGGUUAAAAUGUAAUUGGAUCCUUGCAUUUGCGCGACAUUUUCAAUGUAAUCCUUGGAUUUUAAUUUUCCAA